GACGAAGGGGGCUAGCGUUGUUCGGAAUUACUGGGCGUAAAGCGCGUGUAGGUGGUUGUUCAAGUCAGGUGUGAAAGCCUUGAGCUCAACUCAAGAAAUGCACUUGAUACUGGAUGACUAGAGGACCGGAGAGGAUAGUGGAAUUCCCAGUGUAGUGGUGAAAUACGUAGAGAUUGGGAGGAACACCAGUGGCGAAGGCGGCUAUCUGGACGGUUUCUGACGCUAAGACGCGAAAGCGUGGGGAGCAAACAGG
rnacentral:rRNA from 1 species